rnacentral:lncRNA from 1 species
CCAAGACCCUUUCGUUCAGAAACAACGGGUUCUACCAGCUUCUUCCCAUUUCACCAUUUGCGUUCAACAUCAAAGAGACACAGGUCUCUUCCUCUAAACAAAAUCCCAGGGGAAAGGUAACUCCGCCAUUUCACACACUCACUCUGUCUAUGACCUAAGAGUCACUACCUGCAACACCUAUUUCCUCCGCCAUCAAUGGCGUCGCCGGUGACGACGCGCGACGCCGGAGCCGCUGUCAACUCCGACACCAGGCCCUACCGGGGCAACCGCCAGCCGCGCUGUUGAUCUUCGAGCUCGAACUGAGAUGCCGCCGGCGACACAGGUCGCCACCGCUCAUCACCGGGACCUCGUUCCUUCACGCCCCGUCAUCGCCGCUUCCACGAGGCUAGCCGCCACCGCCACCGUCUAUAACAGAAGGGAAACCCUUCCCCGCAGGUCAAACUGAAACGUGCUGCCACUCCUUCAACCCUAAGAUGAGUCCUCUCCUCUUUUUGUUAAUUUAAUUUCAUCCGAAUGGAGAUUGAAGAAAGGUUUCUUUGUUUUCUGUCACGUAUGUCUUUCUGGCUCAAGAAUUUGGUUCCUUAGUUGGUGAUGUGAAGUAAACAAAGACAUGGAAACAUAGUUUCAUUAUCUGACUUGGUUUAUGGUUGCUGCGAUUGAUUCAGGUUUGGAUUGGAUCCUUUUUUUUUUUUUGCAGAUAAAUGGAAUCGGGAUUGUGUGAGGGAUUUUCUGAUUUUGCUUAGCUUCCUUCCUGUGUGUCCGUGGGCGUUGUUUUCGUUUUCCAUUGUAGGUGAAGGAGAAACAGGGGUGAAUGGCAGUUCUGAUAAAGAUGAGGAUACUGGUU